CCUACGGGAGGCAGCAGUGGGGAAUAUUGGACAAUGGGCGAAAGCCUGAUCCAGCCAUGCCGCGUGUGUGAAGAAGGUCUUCGGAUUGUAAAGCACUUUAAGUUGGGAGGAAGGGCAUUAACCUAAUACGUUAGUGUUUUGACGUUACCGACAGAAUAAGCACCGGCUAACUCUGUGCCAGCAGCCGCGGUAAUACAGAGGGUGCAAGCGUUAAUCGGAAUUACUGGGCGUAAAGCGCGCGUAGGUGGUUUGUUAAGUUGGAUGUGAAAUCCCCGGGCUCAACCUGGGAACUGCAUUCAAAACUGACUGACUAGAGUAUGGUAGAGGGUGGUGGAAUUUCCUGUGUAGCGGUAGAAAUGCGUAGAUAUAGGAAGGAACACCAGUGGCGAAGGCGACCACCUGGACUAAUACUGACACUGAGGUGACGAAAGCGGUGGGGAGCAAACAGGAUUAGAUACCCUGGUAGUCCACGACCGUAAACGAUGUACAACUAGCCGUUGGGAGCCUUGAGCUCUUAGUGGCGCAGCUACGCAUUAAGUUAGACCGCCGUGGGGAGGUACGGGCCGGCGUAAACGGUUAAAACGUUAAAAGUUAAAGUAAGUUAGGUUACGGUCGNGAGCGCGACGACGACGACGACGGAGGGAGGAG
rnacentral:rRNA from 1 species